CACGGGCCAGGGAUUUAGCUCAGUGGUUCUGCCGCCUGCCUCACAAGUGCAAGGUCCUGAGUUUGAUCCUGGGUACAAGAAAGAAAAAAUAAUACAGGAGAACAUUUAGCACAGAGUGUUGGAGUUAAAAAUGUCUCUAAAAUUUUUAAAUUGAACCAUCUUAUUUUACAGAUGGGGACCUGAAGCCCAAAGAGGCUACACGUGAUCAUUAGGCCACCAGGUUGACCAUGUGUCAUACAGUCAUGAGCACCUCACAAAGGGAACGUCUCCCAAGCUUUCAUCAGAGACUUCAAGGGUUGUGCGACCCUUUACCUUGGAGCGAUCUCCAAACAAGCCCUCCGGGGAGACCUCUUCCGCAUAAAGGAUGAAGGCCAGCACUUGAAAUAGAGGCAGCC
rnacentral:lncRNA from 1 species